UACGGUGGGGGCAAGUGUUACUCAUAAUGACUGGGCGUAAAGGGUACGUAGGUGGUUUUGUCAGCUUUUAGUCAAAUUUUACAUUAGUCAUGUUUUUAGGCUUAAAGUACUGCAAAGCUUGAGUUUAGGAGAGGAAGGUGGUAUUCUUAGUGGAGAGGUAACAUUCAUUGAUAUUAAAAGGACGGUCUAAGGCGAAGGCAACCUUCUAGCCUAAACUGACACUGAGGUACGGAAGCAUGGGUAGCGAAUCGG
rnacentral:misc_RNA from 1 species